rnacentral:lncRNA from 1 species
UUUCACUCAUUUACCAGUCAACUUUAUAGGCAGUCCUUUCUGUCCAAAUCGCAUGUAUCAUCUUUAGACCUUGACAAUUUCUUAUAUCUUUUUUUUUUCGUAUCUUUCUUCUCUAAUUAGCAUUUGUAUUUCAGUGUUACUCUUCCUUCCAAGGAGACGACAGUUAAGUGUUGUGAUGAGCUUGAUCAGGUGGCUAAGGUAAAAUGAUUUACUUUGCAUUACAACAUAAGUUUCCCAAUUUUGGAUCGAUAGUUGGUGCGUUUAUCUAAAUUUUAGGCUAAUUUAAUAUUGGUGGUGUUUCUUAUCCAACUCAUUUAUGGAGCGUGCAGAACAAUGAUUAUAUAACUAACACCAGUGGUUCCCUCAUGCUCUAUAUUUUCUUUUCUUGGAGGUUUCGCUCGAGGUAACUUGAUCACAUUAUGGAUGAAGUUCAAGACAUGCAGAAUGAUACAUUCACUAGUAAAGAAGGAUUUAAAGGCGCUAUAACUAGUCUAAAAUUGGGUUUUAACGUCAUCUUAUAAACGUUAGACCACAAAACAUCCAACAUAAAUUAUUGACCGAUGAUAUUUUUGUAAAUAAAUAAGAAUAUAGACGUCAGUUCGGAGGAUCAUUGACGUCUAUAAUAUACUAGACAUUGGGGUCCCUCCUAACUGACAUCUAUAUGUCUGACAGGUAGAUAAAAAGUCAUUUCUUUCCGCCAUAUAGACAUCGUUUAAGAGGGGCACUGACGUCUAUAAUAUUACAGACGUUAGUGCCCCCUAACUGACGUCUAUAUGUAUAUCAUGUAGGUGAAAAGUCAUUUCUUUUCGUCAUCUAAACGUUAGAUCCCGC